rnacentral:lncRNA from 1 species
UAUAGGGAGUCCUUUAAUGCUUAUCUAUGGACUGGGACUUCUUCCUGCACCUAAUGGAAACUCAUUAAAGAUUUUUGUACUGGGAAAGAUUGUGGUAAGACUUGAGCUUUAGGAAAGUUUAUCAGACCAUGCAAUGGAAACAUUAGAAAGUGGGCAUCACUGGAGUUAGGUUUGUCAGCUAUCAUUUAGUAGCUAGGGGAAGGAAGACCUCUCACUAAAUCAAUUAUCAAAUAAAUCUUGGAGCUAUGGUGUCCAUGGCCCUGGGCUGAUGCAAGUAACUCUGAGCUUUCACAGUUGUGGGCACAGGCAUUCAGGGAAAUCAUCAUGCCAUCUGGUUGACGGUAGUAAAGCUUCACUACUCUAGAGCCAGGGUACUGGAAUUUCAGACCUGCUGAAAGGCAGGGAAUCUGAAGGACUCAGGAGACCAUGUCACAGAAGAUAAAUUCACUUGGUAACACAAGGGCAGUAAACUGUUCCUUUGGCCAUGUCCUUUCUGACAAAUGAAACUUCUCUUGCAACCAGAUCAAUAGUUACUGCACUAAAGAAUUGUUGGAGAAAAAUUUUAACUCAGUGGAGCUUAUUUCCUAUAAAUCAUCUUUACUUUUACAUCCAUUU